GAUACCCUUCGAGAUAAAGAAGAUUCUGAGACUUAGUAAUGUUUUCCUGGAGAGGUUCCUUCACCCUGAAGUUAUGCACCGGACCCGUGAGAAGCACAGGUGUGUCCUCCAGCCUGCCUGAAGAAAGGAAAUUAGAUCCAAUGCCACGCUUCCCAGUGGGAGGUUGAGUGUUUAUGUAUAAAGGUAAGUGUCGUGUCUUUCAUUUUAGUGUGGCCUAUUAAUUCACCAUGUUUGUUAUGGACUCAUUGUCUUUAAUUGCCCUGUUAUUAUCAGUUGCAUGUUGGUGUAAAUCUGUUUUUGGUUAUUUCUCAAGACUCUUGCAUGUAGGAAUGUCAGGAAAACAAAGUGAUGGACUGACUUUAAUUAGUACACACAUCUGGAGCACUAAAGGUCAGACUUAUUCCUUAAUAAAAUUCCCAUCCAGAAACACGUUAUUUCCUGACAAGAGUCACCCGCAUAAAUUCCGUAGGAACCCGGAGCCAGGAACCAGCUGUUGGCAUGUCUAGAGGCCACUAAACCAGCGCUCUUUCAAUAUUCAUUACAAUUACUCUGUGUUCCUUUUACAUGGGAUUCUUGUGGAAGUGACAGGUUGUUGACUGGUGAGCUCAGUGCUGGUGUUGGAGGAGCUCAUUAAAAAUGGAAACUGUGAAAGUAGGCCAGCGGUGUACUGAUGUGGAGGCAAUGGGUAAAGAGAAAGGAAAGCCGUUCCAAGUUCUCCAUGGCCUAUCCCAUGUCACCGUCUUCCCUUGGUCUGCUUUCCGCAUGAAGAGGUUGUCACCUCUCCUGCCAGCAUCUUUGGUUUGAUGCCACAGCUCAAGCACACACUCGGCCUGCCUGCAUCAGCCCGUUCCCAUCUAGCCGUCUAGCCUGACAUCUGGAUCUGACAGAAGAAAGCCAUAUGGUCCUGGAACGACAUGAAAA